rnacentral:rRNA from 1 species
CCUACGGGAGGCUGCAGUGAGGAAUAUUGGUCAAUGGGCUUACGCCUGAACCAGCCAAGUCGCGUGAGGGAAGACUGCCCUAUGGGUUGUAAACCUCUUUUGUCAGGGAGCAACGCCGGCUACGUGUAGUCGGACUGAGAGUACCUGAAGAAAAAGCAUCGGCUAACUCCGUGCCAGCAGCCGCGGUAAUACGUAGGGAGCGAGCGUUGUCCGGAAUUACUGGGUGUAAAGGGAGCGUAGGCGGGACUGCAAGUUGGGUGUCAAAUCUACCGGCUCAACCGGUAGCCGCACUCAAAACUGCAGUUCUUGAGUGAAGUAGAGGCAGGCGGAAUUCCUAGUGUAGCGGUGAAAUGCGUAGAUAUUAGGAGGAACACCAGUGGCGAAGGCGGCCUGCUGGGCUUUUACUGACGCUGAGGCUCGAAAGUGUGGGGAGCAAACAGGAUUAGAUACCCGAGUAGUC